AACAGCUGGAGAAAGAAUGGGACUUGAAUAAAAUUUUGGUCACUGGGAGCCUGGAGCUUAUCACAGGGAACUUGGGGCAUGAGGAGGGGGACACCAUGGACAGGGUGCUAACCUUAGCAGGGCACAAUCAUACUCACAUUCACACACUAGGGAUAAUUUGGAAAUGCCAAGCAGCCUACAACACAUGUCUUUGGAAAUGCAAACUCCAUGUAAACAAGGAGGAGGGGGGAUUCAAACCUGCAACCCUGGAGGUGGGAAGCAAAGAAAAAUAAAAUUCCUCCAAGAACACAGCAACUACUCAUCCGGGAAGUCACAAAAGAGCCAACAUCAAAGGACCCACAGGCCUCUCUUGCAACAAAGGUCAAGGUUUAUGACUCCACUAUCAGAAAGACACUGGACAAAAAUGGCAUCCAUGGAAGAGUGGCAAGGUGAACACCACUGCUAAUCCAGAAGAACAUUAAGGCUCAUCUGAAUUUUGCCAAAACACACCUUGAGGAUCAUCAAACCUUUUGGUAGAAUGUUCUGUGGAUUGAUCAAUCAAAAUUGUAAUUGUUUGGAAGACAGGGGUCCUGUUUCAACUGGC
ensembl:lncRNA